rnacentral:lncRNA from 1 species
CAGCCACUAGGCUGCUUCCGGUGUGUCACUGAACACCUUCCCGGUCCCAGCAGCUGGAGGAUUUGUGUUUGGUAGCACCUGGGGGAUGGCUCUGUCCCGGGCGCACUUAGGCGGGGUGUGCGGAGCGCUUUACCUUCCACAGUGCUCGGCACACGCAUCCUUUUCGACAUCAUCACUUGACCUGCUGCAAUAGACAAGUCUUGCUGUGUUGCCCAGGCCGGAGUGCAGUGGUGCAAUCUCUGCUCAGUGCAACCUCCGCCUCCUGGGUUCAAGUGAUCAUUCUGCCUCAGGCUCCUGACUAAUUGGGAUUACAGGCAUGCACCACCACACCGGCUAAUGUUUGUAUUUUCAGUGGAGACGGGGUUUUACCAUGUUGGCCAGGCUGGUCUCAAACUCCUGACCUCAGGUGAUUCGCCUGCCUCGGCCUCCCGAAGUGCUGGGUUUACAGGCGUGAGCCACCGCCCGGCCUCAUGUCAUCAAAAGAAGAGAAAACAGAGGCACAAGAGAAGAUGACCACAGAAGACAGAGGCAGAGGCUGGGGUUAUGCUACCACAAACCGGAGAAUGCCAAGGAUUGCUGGCAACCACCAGGAGCCUGGGGAGAGGCGUGGAACCCCUCCUCCCUCAGAGGCCCCAGAAGGAUCCAACCCUGCUAAUACCUUGAUUUUAGACUUCCCACCCCCAGAACUGUGAGAAAAUAAAUUUCUAGCUGCU